rnacentral:rRNA from 1 species
CAAGUCGAACGAUUAAAGCUUCCUUCGGGAAGUGCAUAAAGUGGCGCACGGGUGAGUAACACGUAAGUAAUCUACCCUCGAGUGGGGAAUAACGUUCGGAAACGGACGCUAAUACCGCAUAAUGCAGCGGCACCGCAAGGUGACAGUUGUUAAAGAUUUAUUGCUUGAGGAGGAGCUUGCGGCAGAUUAGCUAGUUGGUAAGGUAAUGGCUUACCAAGGCUACGAUCUGUAUCCGGUCUAAGAGGACGGUCGGACACACUGACACUGAAUAACGGGUCAGACUCCUACGGGAGGCAGCAGUCGGGAAUUUUGGGCAAUGGGGGAAACCCUGACCCAGCAACGCCGCGUGAAGGAUGAAGUAUUUCGGUAUGUAAACUUCGAAAGAAUAGGAAGAAUUAAUGACGGUACUAUUUAUAAGGUCCGGCUAACUACGUGCCAGCAGCCGCGGUAAUACGUAGGGACCAAGCGUUGUUCGGAUUUACUGGGCGUAAAGGGCGCGUAGGCGGCGCGGUAAGUCACUUGUGAAAUCUCUGAGCUUAACUCAGAACGGCCAAGUGAUACUGCAGUGCUAGAGUGUGGAAGGGGCAAUCGGAAUUCUUGGUGUAGCGGUGAAAUGCGUAGAUAUCAAGAGGAACACCUGAGGUGAAGACGGGUUGCUGGGCCAACACUGACGCUGAGGCGCGAAAGCCAGGGGAGCAAACGGGAUUAGAUACCCCGGUAGUCCUGGCCCUAAACGAUGAAUACUUGGUGUCUGGAGUUUUAAUGCUCCCGGGUGCCGUCGCUAACGUUUUUAGUAUUCCGCCUGGGGAGUACGCUCGCCAAGA